rnacentral:lncRNA from 1 species
AUUACAAGAGCACCUCCUCCCCCAACCCCAGGAGGCCCCGCUCCCCAGGCCUCGGCCGGCGCGGACCCCUGGUUGCCCCGGGGUCGAGAGCAGCCGGGGAGAGCUGAGUUCAGAGCCCAGAGUUGGACAUCAGGCCACACGCUGAGAGGGUAGUAAAUGAAAGGGAGUCCGGUUUAGUCGCGGGCAGGGCAUCUCCUCUUCUGCUUGUCUAAAAGUCGCUGGGUGCAGGGGAAGCAAUACUAAGCGGGAAUUUCUUUUUAGUGGCAUCUACACAAUUUGCCUUUCCUGGUUUUUGUUUUGUUUUGUUUUGUUUCCUAAGGAGGGGGAGGCUCUGUAGAGGAAGCUUCGGCCCUGGGUGCCCCUGGGUUGGGAGCAGUCGGGGAGCGCUGAGCCAGGGCGCACGCCCUGUCGGCGCUGCGGGUGUGGGGCGCAGGAGUCCUUCUGGCCGGCCCCUCCGCCCCCCGGGGAGGCUGGAGCUCUCCAAGGCCGGGGAGCCUCCCGAAGCGCGCUGCCCCCUCUGUUCUCCGCGUGCUUUCACUAGGGCCCCAUGCUGCUUAGUGGCCGAUUUGCAGGGAAUCUGGGCACAAUCUUAAUAACACCAGGGCCAAAAAUAACAACGUUCCUGGGAACCGAGCUGGAGCGCACCCCAUGGACGCUGGGCCAUCUCCCCGGGGACUAGUGCCUGACAGAGCUGACAGAGUUCUAGGCCACAUGUGGGCUAGAAGGAACCGCCAUGUCUACCACAGCACAGUCCUUAAGCAGGAGCCUUUUGAAGCACUUGGACUCAAAACAAUGGCUGUUUGUUGUUGUUGUUGUUGUUGUUUGUUUGUUUUGAGGGAGCCAGAAAGCUAAAAAAUGUAAAAGAAGCAGGUCACAUUAGACAUGAUUUCAGACAGCCUCCCCGAAGGACAGAUGAUCUCACUUGGCAACACAUACUGGGCCAGGCUCACUCAUGAGGGGGCAGCGUGGCAUGCACCCCACUCAGGGGCAAGAAUGAAGCUUAAAUAUUAGCUGACUCAGAACAUAGCAAGUGCUCAGUAAUGGCUUCUGGAACGAACCCGUGGUUGUCACCAGCAGGAGUGACGAAAGCUAGAAGCCGUUUCACCAUCCAAGGAAGAGGAGGAACAAUAUUUUUCUCUUUGGAGUUCCCACACUCAGAAGAGAGAACACCAGCAUAUGAACACAGAGUGUCACAUGAUGUAGGAAACAUCCUGUAGGUAGAGAGUAUAAUUCCAAAGCUUAGGAUCCUGCUAGUUCCUUGUGCAGUGCUUCCGGUGGGCAACAUGGUGCCUCCCCAGUCCCUCAGGCUUGAGGCGGGCCAGCACAGCUUCUCUGGGAGCCAGGUCAUUUCAGAAUUUAACCCCAGAACUAGGUCACCCCAGGCAACACAAGGCUCCUCUCCCUUGGAUACAGGAAGCGGAGGAAAAGGCCAGGCAUGCUCAGGGGCAAACCAACACCCAGGUGAAAGGGAGCUGGGCUGGUUUCGGGGAGCAGCCUGGUUUCAGGGAGCCGGACUCACGAUGUGCUUGAGACCCUCAAAUUCACCCCUGGAAGCAGCUGCCCCCGUGACAAGGAACUAAGGACAGGCAUGUCAUGGACUGUGAAUUGGAGUGACAUUUGUCCCUCCCUUCACCAACAGACUGCCCCAAGAGCUUCCCAAGUUAUCUGCCAUAGAAUACCUUGUUUCCCUCGAGUCUCUGAAAGGGGGCCGCAAAAGCUGUCCCCACGCUGGAAAUGCAGGGCCAGGCUUUUAAAGUUUUGCUCCCGGAUUAUGAGAACACCUAGAAAAUUCAGUGCUCCUCUCCACUCCCCCAAACCCCUUCACAAGCCCCCACCCUUUGUUUAACAAACAUAUAUAUAGUGCUUUCCUGGUACCAGAUACUACUUUAAGCACUUGACAAAAUAUUUAGUCAUACAUAAAACCCUUAUAAUUACACUGUAAUUCACUCUCGUCAGAUCCAGUCAUUGUGAAGAAACGGAGGCACGGGGAGAUUAAGAGAGCUACUUAAGAAGACACGGUGCCAGGUUUCUACCCAAGCCAUUUGGAUCUAGGGUCUGGAGGCCAUGUGAGCCAUUUUGCAUUAGAUUAACGCUUUAAUUCAGUUCACAGUUAGACAAUAUACGUUCCCCAUCUAUAUCUAUACCCAUCUGGAAGGCAACAAAAAGAUAAUAAACUGAUAGUGUCAUGUGCCCAUGACCCAGCUAACAAAGAGGCUCUGGGUUCCAAUGCCCCAGUCUUUCAUGGGAUUCCAUCGACCUCAUGCCCUGCUCCCCUCCCCAACAGAGAUGGAAACAUUAUCCUGAAUUUUGUGUUUAUCAUCCCUUGUUUCUCUCUAUAGUUUUUCCACUUAUGGUUGUAUGAUUUUUGUUUGUUUGUUUUUUGAGACGGCAUCUCGCUCUGUCACCAGGCUGGAGUGCAGUGGCGUGAUCUCGGCUCUACCUCCCAGGUUCAAGCCAUCCUCCUGCCUCAUCCUCCCGAGUAGCUGGGACUACAGGCACACGCCACCAUGCCCAGCUAAUUUUUGUAUUUUUAGUAGAGACGGGGUUUCACCUUAUGGUUGUAUCUUUAAACAAUGUCUUGUUUAGUUUUGCCAUGUUUUUGGACUGUGAAUAAGUAGAAUUAUUAUGCUGUGUGAAUUCUUCUGCUACUUGCAUUUUUGCUGCAACGUCAUGUUCCUGAAAUUCAGCCAGGAUUCAUUUAUUCCUUUUCACUGCUGUGUGAUAUCCCAUUGUAGGCAAAUAGUACACAAUAUUUAUUUAUUUUCCAGAUGGGAUCUCAUUCUGUCACCCAGGCUUGUAGUGCAGUGACCCCAUCACGAUUCACUGCAGCCUUGAACUCCUGGGCUCAAGCAAUCCUCCUGCCUCAGCCUCCUGAGUUGCUAAGGCCACAAAUAUUUAUCCAUUUUACUGCUAAUGCAAUUUGAGCUGUUUUCAACUUUUUCCUAUUAAAACAUUAUUGCUAUGAACAUUCUUAUAAAA